rnacentral:lncRNA from 1 species
UGUUACUGUGCUUUUUCCCCAAGUCUGCAUUCAGUGACAUCAUGUUGGUGGAUUGAAAUCAGCCACAGUGGGAAUAUUUACACCACAGAAAUGGGCAGCAACCACCACAAAUCAGGGCUUUAUUCAUUAUUUGGUUGACUAUCUAGACUUAAGAGGCAGGGAACCCACGGAGAGUGAGAAUUUGGAGAUUCAGGAAAAGAGGGUACAUGACACGAGGCAGGAGGGUGCAAGGCUGGAGAGAUCAGAGGAUGUAGAAUGAGAAAACCACCUCAUCGAAAAGGGUCUUUGGGUUGUCUUCUACCAGGAAGAGUUUUUAAAUAGGAGUAGCCAGCUACUAGACAGCACCUACUACACGGCAUCUUAGGUGCUCAACACCUAUUCUGUUGAGUAGAAAAUACUAUCACCACCACCAUUCUAGAAGUCUUUUCUUUUAUUGUCCCACCAAUGCGAAGAUACUUCAAACUUUUUUUUUUUGAGAGCCAUGGCAAUCUUUUUACACUUGAUUUUAGCCAAAAGGCCAAGAAGCAAUGAAAGCCAUGAUAAUCUUUUUAUGCAAUGUUAUCAGGUAAAAAAUGGCUAAAGUAUAUUAGCAUUUACCCGAGUGGUAUUCUUUUAUAGAA